rnacentral:rRNA from 1 species
UACGUAGGGGGCAAGCGUUGUCCGGAAUUAUUGGGCGUAAAGCGUGCGCAGGCGGUCAUUUAAGUCUGGUGUUUAAUCCUAGGGCUCAACCCUAGGUCGCACUGGAAACUGGGUGACUUGAGUACAGCAGAGGAAAGUGGAAUUCCACGUGUAGCGGUGAAAUGCGUAGAGAUGUGGAAGAACACCGGUGGCGAAGGCGGCGAGCUGGUCCAUUACUGACGCUGAGGCGCGAAAGCGUGGGGAGCAAACAGG